GGGGGGCCCGUUUUCCGGAAUAUUGAGGCGUAAAGAGCUCGUAGGCGGUUUGUCGCGUCUGCUGUGAAAUCCCGAGGCUCAACCUCGGGCCUGCAGUGGGUACGGGCAGACUAGAGUGCGGUAGGGGAGAUUGGAAUUCCUGGUGUAGCGGUGGAAUGCGCAGAUAUCAGGAGGAACACCGAUGGCGAAGGCAGAUCUCUGGGCCGUAACUGACGCUGAGGAGCGAAAGGGUGGGGAGCAAACAGGCUUAGAUACCCUGGUAGUCCACCCCGUAAACGUUGGGAACUAGUUGUGGGGUCCUUUCCACGGAUUCCGUGACGCAGCUAACGCAUUAAGUUCCCCGCCUGGGGAGUACGGCCGCAAGGCUAAAACUCAAAGGAAUUGACGGGGACCCGCACAAGCGGCGGAGCAUGCGGAUUAAUUCGAUGCAACGCGAAGAACCUUACCAAGGCUUGACAUACACGAGAACGGGCCAGAAAUGGUCAACUCUUUGGACACUCGUGAACAGGUGGUGCAUGGUUGUCGUCAGCUCGUGUCGUGAGAUGUUGGGUUAAGUCCCGCAACGAGCGCAACCCUCGUUCUAUGUUGCCAGCACGUUAUGGUGGGAACUCAUGGGAUACUGCCGGGGUCAACUCGGAGGAAGGUGGGGAUGACGUCAAAUCAUCAUGCCCCUUAUGUCUUGGGCUUCACGCAUGCUACAAUGGCCGGUACAAAGGGCUGCAAUACCGUGAGGUGGAGCGAAUCCCAAAAAGCCGGUCCCAGUUCGGAUUGAGGUCUGCAACUCGACCUCAUGAAGUCGGAGUCGCUAGUAAUCGCAGAUCAGCAACGCUGCGGUGAAUACGUUCCCGGGUCUUGUACACACCGCCCGUCAAGUCAUGAAAGUCGGUAACACCUGAAGCCGGUGGCCUAACCCUUGUGGAGGGAGCCGUCGAAGGUGGGAUCGGUAAUUAGGAUAAUCUAUAGGGGGGGGACACACAUAUAAAAUCCGUGGGGGGCCCCGCCCUUUUU
rnacentral:rRNA from 1 species